rnacentral:rRNA from 1 species
UACGUAGGUCCCGAGCGUUGUCCGGAUUUAUUGGGCGUAAAGCGAGCGCAGGUGGUUUAUUAAGUCUGGUGUAAAAGGCAAUGGCUCAACCAUUGUAUGCAUUGGAAACUGGUAGACUUGAGUGCAGGAGAGGAGAGUGGAAUUCCAUGUGUAGCGGUGAAAUGCGUAGAUAUAUGGAGGAACACCGAUGGCGAAAGCGGCUUUCUGGCCUGUAACUGACACUGAGGCUCGAAAGCGUGGGGAGCAAACAGG